rnacentral:rRNA from 1 species
GCUUGUCUCAAAGAUUAAGCCAUGCAUGUCUCAGUAUAAGUUCCUGUACGGCGAAACUGCGAAUGGCUCAUUAAAACAGUUACAGUUUAUUUGAUGGUCGUUCCUUACAUGGAUAACUGUGGUAAUUCUAGAGCUAAUACAUGCGCCCAGACCCAACUUUUAGGAAGGGUUGUAUUUAUUAGGUACAGAACCAAUGCAAGCUCCGCUUGACCUUUUGGUGAUUCAUGGUAACCGAACGAAUCGCACGGCACCAGCUGGCGAUGGACCAUUUCAGUUUCUGACCUAUCAGCUUCCGACGGUAGGAUAUGGGCCUACCGUGGCAAUGACGGGUAACGGAGAAUUAGGGUUCGAUUCCGGAGAGGGAGCCUGAGAAACGGCUACCACAUCUAAGGAAGGCAGCAGG